UACGUAGGCAGCGAGCGUUGUUCGGAAUUACUGGGCGUAAAGAGUGUGUAGGCGGUGCUCCCAGUCUGUUGUGAAAUCUCCCGGCUUAACUGGGAGGGUGCAGCGGAAACUAGAGUGCUAGAGGGUGGGAGAUGUAAGCGGAAUUCCUGGUGUAGCGGUGAAAUGCGUAGAUAUCAGGAGGAACACCUGUGGUGUAGACAGCUUACUGGACCACUUCUGACGCUGAGACACGAAAGCGUGGGUAGCAAACAGG
rnacentral:rRNA from 1 species